rnacentral:rRNA from 1 species
UACGGAGGGUGCAAGCGUUGUCCGGAAUCACUGGGCGUAAAGGGCGCGUAGGCGGCUCAUGAAGGCUGUGGUGAAAGUCCGGGGCUCAACCUCGGAUCGGCCGUGGCGACUCGUGGGCUGGAGCACUGUAGAGGCGAGUGGAAUUCCGGGUGUAGCGGUGGAAUGCGUAGAGAUCCGGAAGAACACCAGUGGCGAAGGCGGCCCGCUGGGCAGUGGCUGACGCUGAGGCGCGACAGCGUGGGGAGCAAACAGG